ACAAAGACGGGGAGCAGAAGUCCUGUCGUACCAGUGGCCGUAUUGUCCAGCAGUUCAGAGUCUGAAACCAGAUCAGAUUCGUCCGAUUCAUCAGAUUCUUCUGAUUCAUCGGAUUCUGAAGAUUUGGAGAACUGGAUGAUUCUGGGUCAAGGAAAGCGGGACGAAGACCACUCUAUCUCACUUCACCUUGAAGGGGCGUCUGACAGCAACACAGAUGCUGAUAAACGUGACAUCUGGUGGAUAUGUGAGAAAGACAAGAAGGCUCAGAUCUACAAUAAAAACAGGACCUCCAGGACCUACAGGACAGCCUGGCAGCCAGACAUUGUAACUAACCUUCUCCUCUAAUGCAAAACUUUUUUUCUUUCUUUUUUUUAUCUUCCACUAACAAAUUAUACAGAAGGCAUUAGUGUGUGUGUUUGUGAGAGAAAGAGUCAGGUCUCAGUCCCCUGGGCCUUUCUGUGUCUCUCAUUAAAGACAGACGGUUGAUGGAGCGCGAGUGUGUCGCUCGCCUCGCCUGUCGCCCUCGACAACAACACACUACCCUGGCGGUCUGGAGGGACGGAGCAAAUGGGAGGGUGGAGGGGUUGUUAAAAAAGAGUUAGAUGAGAGGUGGAGGAAAGAUACAGCUGUCGAAAUUUAGAUGAGCUUUUCCUACAUAUUCAAAUCUAGAUAUAUUGGAUAAAGUCAGAAAGUACCAACCUUUCUGUAUCAGCUGAAGGAUUUAAUGUGCGCUUCAGGCCAAGCUUAGGCGACCUAUAACGUAGUUGGUAUUGACAGAUCAUUUAUUGCAAAAGUUUAGUGUAUGCAAGAGCAAAAUAUACAAAGCUCUGUUCACAGAACAGGCUCAAAUCUGAAUUGGAAUUCACGCUGCCUUUCACUCAGUAGAUCUGUAAGUAGAUCAAUCUUGUUGCUUCGGCGGCAGCAUUUUCAAUUUCCCAGCAGGAAGAGACAGUGGUUGGUGAAGGAUGUUGGAACACUUAAAGGAAGAGCGUGAAGAAGCCCCAGAGAAAAUGCGUUGGCCACACCGCCAGAGAACAACUGGAUGCCUUCCUAGCUGACUGAAUGACUGACUGCAGGGUGACUUGUUAAAAAAUACUGACAAAACUGAGGCUAAAGGAGAGAUGUCUGCCUCUUUAAGUAUUUCACAAAAACGUUCUCAUCUUGUCAGACAAGUACUAUAGGGGAUGGAAAUCACUGCCAAAAUACUGAAUCUCUUCAAAUUCAAACUUAUAAUUUGUUUCAAUUUGAAUAAAAAUGAAUUACAUUUCCAAUAAAAACUUGCUUUGUCUUGCUAUA